rnacentral:rRNA from 1 species
ACUCCACGGGAGGCAGCAGUGGGGAAUUUUGGACAAUGGGCGAAAGCCUGAUCCAGCAAUGCCGCGUGAGUGAAGAAGGCCUUCGGGUUGUAAAGCUCUUUUGUCAGGGAAGAAACGGUGGACUCUAAUACAGAUCACUAAUGACGGUACCUGAAGAAUAAGCACCGGCUAACUACGUGCCAGCAGCCGCGGUAAUACGUAGGGUGCAAGCGUUAAUCGGAAUUACUGGGCGUAAAGCGUGCGCAGGCGGUUUGGUAAGACAGAUGUGAAAUCCCCGGGCUCAACCUGGGAAUUGCAUUUGUGACUGCCCGGCUAGAGUGUGUCAGAGGGGGGUAGAAUUCCACGUGUAGCAGUGAAAUGCGUAGAGAUGUGGAGGAAUACCGAUGGCGAAGGCAGCCCCCUGGGAUAACACUGACGCUCAUGCACGAAAGCGUGGGGAGCAAACAGGAUUAGAUACCCUGGUAGUCCACGCCCUAAACGAUGUCUACUAGUUGUUGGGUCUUAAUUGACUUAGUAACGCAGCUAACGCGUGAAGUAGACCGCCUGGGGAGUACGGUCGCAAGAUUAAAACUCAAAGGAUUGACGGA